AGCUCCAAUAGCGUAUAUUAAAGUUGCUGCAGUUAAAAAGCUCGUAGUUGGAUCUCGGGUCGGGGACGGCGGUCCGCCCCUCAGGGGCCGCGACUGCCGGAGCGGCGGCCUUCGCCGGUCGCCUCCCCGUCCUACACGCCGGUUUUUCAUCUCCCCGUUUGGUGCUCUUGAUUGAGUGCCCGGGGCGGCCGGGACGUUUACUUUGAAAAAAUUAGAGUGUUCAAAGCAGGCCCUUGUCGAGCCUGAAUAAUGGUGCAUGGAAUAAUGGAAGAGGACCUCGGUUCUAUUUUGUUGGUUUUCGAGAACUGGAGGUAAUGAUUAAGAGGGACUGCCGGGGGCAUUUGUAUUGCGGCGUUAGAGGUGAAAUUCUUGGAUCGCCGCAAGACAAACUACUGCGAAA
rnacentral:rRNA from 1 species